rnacentral:rRNA from 1 species
GAUUGACCUCGGAUCAGGUAGGGAUACCCGCUGAAACUUAAGCAUAUCMAAUAAGCGGAGGAAAAGAAACCAACAGGGAUUGCCUCAGUAAACGGCGAGKUGAAGCGGCAAGAGCUCAAAWUUUGAAAUCUGGSCCCCGCAMCGGGGUCCGAGUUGUAAUUUGGAGAGGAUGCUUCGGGCAAGGCCGCGGCCUAACUCGCUUGGAACAGCGGGUCACAGAGGGUGAGAGUCCCGUCCGGGGUCGUGCGCCGCGCCCAGGUGAAGCUCCUUCGACGAGUCGAGUUGUUUGGGAAUGCAGCUCCAAAUGGGUGGUAAAUUUCAUCUAAAGCUAAAUACCGGCCAGAGACCGAUAGCGCACAAGUAGAGUGAUCGAAAGAUGAAAAGCACUUUGAAAAGAGAGUUAAACAGUAUGUGAAAUUGUUGAAAGGGAAGCGCUUGCCGCCAGACUUGCGGGCGGCGGUUCCCCCGGUCCCGUUGUGUGACCGGGUUACUYCCGUCGCCUCCAGGCCAGCAUCGGUUYCGGGCGGUCGGUGAAAGACCCCGGGAAGGUAUCUACCCUCGGGUYCGACUUAUAGCCCGGGGUGCAAWUGCGRAACCCGCCCGGAMCCGAAGGAACGCGCUCCGGCUCSGGAUGUUGGCGUAAUGGUGGCAAGCGGSCCCGUCUUGAAAMCACGGACCAAGGAGUCUAACAUCUGUGCGAGUGUUCSGGGUGUCAAACCCCGGCGCSGGAAUGAAAGUGAAUGGAGGUAAGAGCCCCCCCGCCGGGGCGCAUUAUCGACCGAUCCGGAAGUCUUCGGAUGGAUUUGAGUAAGAGCACAGCUGUUGGGACCCGAAAGAUGGUGAACUAUGCCUGAAUAGGGUGAAGCCAGAGGAAACUCUGGUGGAGGCUCGCAGCGGUUCUGACGUGCAAAUCGAUCGUCAAUUUGGCAUAGGGGCGAAA